GGGGCACUUAAAGGAAGAAAACGACCAGCCCAGGGCACGGGCAUAGGAAUGCAGCCAGGGAAAUAAGCACCCUGGAGUCCCUUUUCUCCUUCCCCCUGAUUUGCUAAGGCUCUUCAUUGGCUGAAUCCAGUCAGAAGCUGGAGGAGAUGGAGUCCCUGUUGCCCUAGUCCUCUUUCAGUGCAGGAGGCAAUGGAGGUGGCCGGAGAUGGGAGUAGGAGGAUGGGGUGAAUCUAUACAGGCAAAGAGCUGACUGUGACCAGCCUGGACAACACGUCGAAAACCCGUCUCUACUAAAAAUACAAAAACUAGGCAGGUGUCGGGAGGCUGAGGCAGGAGAAUCACUUGAACCCAGGAGGCGGAGGUUGCAGUGAGCCAAGAUCGUGCCAUGGCACUCCAGCUUGGGCGACAAGAGUGAAACCCCAUCACAAAAAUUAGCCAGGCAUGGUGGCGCGCCUGUAAUCCCCCCAGGAGGUGGAGAUUGCAGUGAGCCGAGAUCGAGCCACUGCACUCCAGCCUGGGCGACAGAGCGACAGAGGGAGACUCCAUCUCAUAAUUGAGUCUUCAAUUGUCUAGUUUAAGUUUGCUG
rnacentral:lncRNA from 10 species